GGGGCGCUGGCUUCCCAGAGGGCUCGGGGCGAAAGUUUCACCUCGGCUGCUCGCUGGGGUGAGCAAGGAGCGCGGAGCCCGGGAUGGAGAGAGCGAGCUCUGGUUCCUGAGGCCUCGCUCCCGAAAAGCCCCAGCAGAAGAACGUAUGAAGAGCCAUGAAAAUGGAGACUUGCUCCUUCCUGCACCUGUGACUCCUCCAUGGCCCAGGACGCCUCAAUAACACGUCCUGCCCCUGUGAGGGGCCCUAUCUAGCCCAGGCCCCCUCGGCCCAUGGCCCCCCAGCCCUGCGGGGGUGGGUGGGAAGGGGUGAUUACCUAGCUGCUGAGGAGGAGGUGAGAGGGGACGAGAGGUACGGCAGAUCCCCACCACCACCACGCCGCCGUCCUGGGCUCUUUUCACAUUGUGCUACUGUCUGAGCCCCUGCCAAGCAGUGCAAUGUCAAAAGGGCAUCGGGCAGGCGGUGCCAGCAGCGCCUGACCCAGUCCGUCCACCACUCUGCCUCUGGGGGUCUGGGUGGAAGGAGGGCAGAGCGAGGAUCUGUAGGGGAACACAGACCACCCUUCCCAGAGUGGGGCAGAAGAGGGGAUGAAGGGGGUGCUGUGCUCAUGGCAGGGGGCUUUGAUGCUGAGGAGGAGUGCUGGGCUUGGGGCAGGGGUUUCAGGAACUCAGUGGCCAAGCAACCUAAUGAGCUCAUUUGGUUCAAUAUCCCUAAGUGACUGUGCUCCCUGAUGGAACUGAAGGGCCACCAGGUCACCAAUGAACCCCUGUAGCUCCAGCAGCACAGCGGCUGCUCAGUGCAUUCCGUAUUACCAGCUGCACCAGACCCGCUUCCUGCUGGCCCUUGCCCCACUCAUUGCAAGCUCCACAACAGCUCUUCCCUUUGGACUCCUGCCCCCUGGCCCUGACUAAUGGCUUGUCCCCUGGCCACAACUGCACUUCUGCCCUCUGAUUCUGCUCCGACCCCUUGGUCUCACCACCUACACCUUGGGAUGUGACCGUUUGCUAGAAGGUAGCAGGAGCUUUGCUGCACAGCACGGCGCUUCCGUGCAGAAUGGCCCUAGCAGUUUACCCCACCUUUGCAGAUGUUGUUGGAGUCCUGCAGGAACUGCACACUCAAGUUGCCAUCCUGCGUGACCAGAAUGCUCCCUCCGGGCCCAGGUACAAGCCCAGGCAGUGUCUUCUGUCCCCACAACUCUUGCAUCCAUUUUCCGUGAGCCCGAGUUCCCCUUACCCAGUAAGUUGGAUGGGGAUUGUGCCAAAUGUCAUGGGUUCCUUAACCAAUGUCAUCGCCAGUUCAUGUUGUGGCCAGUUGGACCUCACAGCUCAGUUCCAAGUGGGAUUAGUUCUCAGUCUGUUCCGAGGAGAGGCCCUGACGUGAGUGUCUCCUUUCCUGGAAGGGAGCAGUCCUCUCCUUGAACACUGCGGGAGCUUUGUACGGGCUGGGGUGGGCGUCUCCAUGGACCCUAAUGGAGAAUGUACAGCGGAAGCAGCUCUCCACGCCCUCUGGCAGAGGGUCGGGUCCAUCGCAGCAGAAUUCCAGGGUCUGGCCACAGACACUCACUGGAAUGAGGCUGUGCCAUGACACCACUUCAGGCAGGUACUCCACAAUUCUGUCAACGAUGAAUUAGCACAGGUGGAACCUCCGCCUCCUCUAGCAGCUUUAAUUGAGCUUUGCAUCCAGAUUGAUGGUCAACCAACGGAGCCAGCUCAAGAAAAGCAACAGGCCACCUGACCCCCACUGCCCAGAACGCUCCUGUCUCCUGCAGUCCCAGAUGUCCUAUCAGAUCCUGAACCAAUGCAGGUUGACCAAAUCCUGACCCACCUUUUCACUGCUGAAAAGAACUGUCGUCAGGCAUUGGGGUUGUGUUUGUAUGGGGGGGGAGGGGGUUGGACCCCUUGGGAAACCACCUGAUGUUCUGAGAUAUCACUAAGUCAGAGGGGGGCAAACUAUGGCUCACGGGCCACAUCCAGCCUGCCGGACACUUCCCUCUGGUCCCCGGAGCUCCUGCCAGGGAGUGGGGUCAGGACAGGCUUGUGGAGGAGCCAACCCGGCAGCACGGUGAGCAGGGUGGAGUCUAGCCCUUGGCUCCUCCCCUUCUGCUCCCCUUGCUCCCUGCCUCCCUCACAGUCACAGUCCCCCAGCGCCUGGGCUGUGUGUCUGCAGCUCCGGCCAGGCGGCUUGGCUAUAGCACCGCCUGACCUGGUGCUCCAGGGUGGCGCUGUCGGGGCGGGGAGCAGGGGGAGUUCUGGGGGAGAGGUUACAGGAGAGCGGUCAAGGGGCCUGGACCCUGCUGCCAGGGACAGGGGCAGAGCAAUCCAGGGCCCCCCUCCACCCCAAGCAUGCUUGGCCCUUGCCCCUAGCAGCCAAGCGCGGAUAGGGAGCGAGCCCUGUCCGACUGCCGGGGAGAGCAGCCAAACGAGCAGGGGAAAUACACAGGGAAGGGACUGAGCCCCCCGUCCCCCACCCCACACAUAAUGUGGGGUGGGGAGAGCAGGGUGGGUUGAGUGGGGACCGGGGGGAUUGGAUAGAGGUGGGGGUUCCAGGGGUGGGGAGCAGGGGGGAUUGGAUAGCGGAUGAGUGUCCUGGGAGGAUGGUGAGGGGGCAGAGAGCAGGGUUAUUUGGAUAGGAUUUAGGAGUCAAGGGGGGCAGUCGGGUGGGGAGCAGUGGGGGUUGGAUUGGGGCCAGACCACGCCUCACUGUUUGGGGAGGCAUAGCCACCCCCAGCCUUCCCUACUCGGCCCUUCAUACAAUUUCUAUAUCUGAUGUGGCCCUAGGGCCAAAAAGUUUGCCUACCCCUGCACUAAGUCCACCUGUUCUGCUAGUGUGAGCCCCCUUUCAAUCAUGGAAUAUUAGGGUUGGACGGACCUCAGGAGGUCAUCUAGUCCAACCCCCUGCUCAAGGUAGGACCAUUCCCCAGACAGAUUUUUACCCCAGUUUCGUAAAGGGCCCCCUCAAGAAUUUGAGCUCACAACCCUGGGUUUAGCAGGCCAAUGCUCAAACCACUGAGUUAUCCCUCCCCUCUUUAACUUGUCUUGCUGAGCCAGGCUCUUAAAACCUCCACUAACACACACACAGGCAGGGCCACACCCAGCUGCAGCUCAGCUCUGGGAAGACUCAGCUUCAGAGACUUGCUCCAGCACUGAGAUGUCCACCUCCCUUGGAGCGCAGACCCAAAAAUAUAGUAUGAAAUUCGCCCCCUCCCUCAAUGUGGAGAGAGGUGUGCACAGUUCCCCCUCCCCUGCCCGCCUGCUAAACUUACAGAAACUGGGUUUAAUAAUAAACCAAAUUUUAUUAACUAUAAAAGGCAGAUUUUAAGUGGUAAAAAGGGCAAAAAACAGAACAAAGCAGAUUACUAAGCAAAUGAAACCAAAUGCACAAACUAAGCUAGUUUUGCUAAAGGAAUUGGUUUACAAAUAGUAUUUCUCACCCUAGAUAGUGUGGCAGGCAGUUUGCAAAGUUUCUGUGGUUCAGAGUUCCAGUUCUAUUCCUUUUCAGACUGGACCCCGUCUCAGUCUGGACUCCCCCCUUGCCUUCCCUUUUGCAGUCUUUCUUCUUGGGCAGACAGGCCAUGGAGAGGAGGAGUCCUGUUUGCCUUCCUCCCCACCCUUAAAUAGGAUUUACAUAAGGUGGGAAUCAUUUAUUUCCCAAAACUGAACCCCCUUUCCCUUAUAGUGGAAAGUUACCAGAAGUCCCAGGUAAUGUUUCAGUGUCAGGUGACAAGACCACCUGACUCUGUAGGAUCACAGCGUCCAUGAGUCAGUGGCAGUAUGGAGCAUCCACAGGAUGACCAAGCUUUUCACACUAUUGUCCCUGUUGACAGGCCAUCUGCCUUGUCUGACUUUUCCAUUGUUGUACCUGAAGUGUUAGCAGUGGGCGUCACCCAUAGUUGAAAUACAAGUAUAUAGUCAAUAUUCCAAACUUCAGAUACAGAAAUGAUACAGGCAUACAAAUUGGAUAAUUGCUUUCAGUAAAUCAUAACCUUCCCAAAGGUUCUUCCCAAACCUUCUCACAUGAGCCAUCUUGCAUAAAGUAUGUCUCAGUUAUGCCAUAUUCAUAUAUGCAUAUUUUCAUAAAGAAUAUGGAAUGACACAUCACAGGGGGUGCCUGGGCACAUUGCAUCAGAGUGCCUAGCCGAGGUCCAGGAAAUGCUAGAACCCAGCCCCAGUAGGGAAGCUAGGGUUGAGUCAGUGCUCCGCUAUUCCCUACGGUGAAUCGUGCUGCUGCCUAUCUUGGCAUCCCCUAACCAGCAUGCCAGCCUGCUACAUCUGCCUCUUCAGCAUGUGCCAUGCCAGACAUCCAUCUAGGGGCCUUGGCCAGCUUGGACACUUCUGGUAAUUUUAUGGACCAGGACUUUAUGGAGCCUCGAAUUCCCAACCUCUGCAAGGUGUUCCCUGAGCUUGUUGAGGUUAUAGAUGGGUCAUUCCUAUCUUCAGGCCCCAUCAUGCAUCAAACAAUCCACCUGGAGGGCAUCGGCAUUGGCAGUCAUCGAGAGAUCUUGCAGUUCAGGGUCAUCUGCGCUUUGCAUUCACCGGUCAUCCUUGGUGUCUCCUGGCUCGUUGCCCAUAAACCCCAAGUUAGCUGGCACUUGCGAUCUUUACUUUUCUAGUCCCUGCUGUGCCGAUGAGCAUGCUUUCCCAACUCUAGUGAAUGGCUAGUCACAUUCUGUGGCAUGCUCCAGUCCUCGAAAGAUCUAGAACUGCCAACCAAAGUUUCAUUGGCAGUGCCCGGGAUUCCUGCCGAGUACAUAGAAUAUGCCGUAGUGCUUGACAAACAGAAAGCAGACGCUCUACUUCUUCAGCACAGUGAUGAUUGCACAAUUGACCUUCACAAUUGCACAAUUGUUCCUUUUGUGUGCAUUUACACCUUAUCUGCACCCCAGCUGCAGGUCCUCCAGGAGUAGCUUGAGGAAAAUCUGUGGAAGAGGUUCAUUGUCCCUUGACUUCCUGAGUGGCAGCACGUCUUUGUGGCUAAGAAGGAUGGCUCCCUCCCUUAUAUUGAUUAUUGAACCUUUAACAAGAUCAUAGUCUGUGACUGAUGCCCCUUUUCGUAAAUAAACUGGAAAGACUCUCAGUCAGGUCUUCACAAAGCUAGACUGGCGGCCAUACAACCUGUCAGAAUCCAGCAAGGGAAUGUGUGAUGCUGAGGACCAUUGGCCAGCUCAUGCCAAGGCCCUUAGAUCUCAACUGAACGCUGGCAAAUAUAUAGCUGGAACCAGCCUGGCUCACCCAUGUGUUAAUAUUGUUAAAGUACGUAUUAGAGUUAUAAAAAUGUGUUGUUGCAUGCGCUAAUCUAAUAUAAUAUCUGUAUCCUGUGUUACAAGGUAACAAAUACGACAAGGAAUCCGGUGGCACCUUAAAGACUAACAGAUUUAUUUGGGCAUAAACUUUCAUGGGUAAAAAACCAAGAAGUGAGGUUUUUUACGAACAAAAGCUUAUGCCCAAAUAAAUCUGUUAGUUUUUAAGGUGCCACCGGACUCCUUAUGUUUUUGGAUACAGACUAACAUGGCUACCCAGAUACUUGACAUCAUGUAAGGUAACAAAUGUUUGCUCUGUAACUUUAACUCACCAGACAGAUGAGAAGCAUUACCAAGUGUGAAAUACUAGCUUGCCACAGGAGGUGUUCUCUCUUGUCCAACAAAAGAAGACCCAUCAACACCAGAUGAACUGUUGUGGAACAUCAGAGGACAAAAGACUUUGUUGAUUGGCCCCCUUACCGCGCCCCACCCCCCAAAGAAGAGACAGGCAGCUGAAUUUGCAACUCAGCAGAAGGGGGAAAGGAAUAAAAAGCCCUAACAAGGAGGAACUGUAUCCUCUGCUUGGAGUCUGAGGAGCGGGACUUACUAAGCAUAAGCAAAAGAUCCCCUGUGAUUGGCCUGGAUUAGCCCUAAGGGCACAGAGCUUGCUUAUUAUAGAAGCUUCUAUUACCUUUUGAAACUUAAGACAGGAACACAUUUGUGUGUACAGUUACCUGCUUUAACCUUCUAAAUAACUCUGUUUCCUUUGCCUAGUUAAUAAAUCUUCAGAUACUUUAUUUCAGGAUUGGUAAGACCCUUCAUUUUCAGUUUAAACUGAUUUUUAUUGAAAAAUUCUCAGGGUUUAAAAAUAGAAUUAUUCCGUUUUUUUCAGAUUUUCACUCUACUUUUGUAUCAUUCAAAUAUAUACAAAAUAACUAGUUUGAUUAGGAAAAUGCAGUAUAUGGCCUGAGCUAUAUGUAUUACGCUAAUACAUUAUUCUGUGUGUGUAUGGAAGGCUUCCCGCUGAAGUAAGGCUCUGUGUUGGUCUAGAAGAUAAAAUAAACAAAGAGGCGCACACGCAA